CAUUUAAGGACAUGGUAAACCUGUAGGUUUUUACAUUGAGAUAUCUUAAUUUUCUAAUCUGUCAAAUCAGUUAUUGGUUCUUGAUUAUAUUGAUGAAGGAUAUCAAAAUUCAAAAAAUUUGCAUUUGCAAUGACAAAAAAAGACAGGCGCUGUUUAGACAUCCGAUUCAUGUUACCUGAUGAAUAAAGGUGAAAUGAUUUUUUGAUGAACUGUUGAAAAAAAUCUCCAACUGUUUUAAAGAAAAUAAAGAAUAGUCUGUCUGAAGAUAAAUGAGAGAAUGAGUCCUGCACAAUUCUUGAUACAGUACUCAGAGGAAGUCUCCUAUAGUCAAUGGCCCACCACAUGUAAACCACCUUAAUCAAUGACAAUGGAAAAUAAAACAAACAGCACAGAAAAAGUUCAGCCCUCAUCAGCCAACACAAAAGACAGAAGUACAUCCCACUUAAAAGUACUUUAGAAUACACAGUACUUUUCUAACUGUCAUACAAAUGAACCUAGAAUCAGAUCUGAGGCCAAGUUGAAAAUUUCCAACUAAUAAACAAAGGGUCCUACAACAAUGAAGUCUAUGUUAAAAGAUCAUAAUUUAGGAAUGGACACUGGAAGAGUCAAGGCUGAGGCAACGACCAAAAUGUAAAGGUUAAGACAAAGGUCAAAAUGCAAGUGUACAGACAACCAUCCAAACAGAGUGUAUGUUUUAAAAGUGUGAACAGUUUUGAAAUUCUCUUUUGGAUCUUUGCAAGUUUUAGUCAUAGAAACAUUAAGUUGAGCUGAACACAAGGAAACCAACUGAAAACCAUAUACUACCAUAUGUACAUAGAUCAAAUUUGACCAUACUUGUCAUAAAUACCUACUUCAUUAAAGAUUUAAAUAUUCCUGUACCAUUCAGUGUUAUAUAACACAUUUAUUAACUAAAAAGCUGGAUUAAAUUUCUUAUAGUAUACAAUGGUUCAAAGCGGUCUAUUUCAAAAUUCAAAUCAGGGAGUAGAAUCUAGGUGAACUAACUGAAAGACAUAAUUUAUACUCAUAAUAUAUGUUAUUUUUUAUUUAUAUUGGCAAGAAAUCAUUUUUAUGACAAGGCGAAUCACAGCUCUAGUUGGGAAGCGGCAAUAAAUUAGCCAUUAAUUACAAAUCAUAGUUUAUGUAUCUAUUAAUAUGCCUGAAAACUUUCAGAAGGUUUUUAACAUUUCUUUGAAAACAGCUCAGCAAUUCUUUGUUAAAAAACCCUCAAAAACUAUUGACUGUAGUUUACCACAUGGUUUACAAAACUCAUAAAAAACACAUAUAAUUUAUUUAAUAGUAAAUUUUUGAAGGAAGCCUUUCAAGUUGUAAGAAGCAAUAGUAUGUAUUUAAAGACCAUCAUGCAUGCCUGCCAACAACGACAAAAUUACUAUGGACAUUUUAUGUAAUGGACUUAAUCCCUAUGUAGGUGAAUCAAAAUAAGCUAAGGCCAAAUAAAGUAUUGCUAUGGUUCUUAUCUAAAUACUCAUCGCAUUACAGGAGAUUUUUCAAGUCUUAUCCUAAAUUUUUUUUAAUUUUUGAUUGCAGAUUUGUGAAGUUAAAACCAAAAUCUUCGGAAAUGUAUCAUGUUUCAGAAAGUACUUUGUUUAUUUACUGAAUUUGACCAUAAACAGUGUAUUUUGAGAACAUGCUAUGGAAACCCUUUCUUACCAAACAUGUACUGGAUUUUGUACAGGUUUAAAUAGGUCUAAGUACUUAUCAUCAGUUGUUUUAGCUUUCCGAAAACAUUUGGCCAAAUAACCAACCAAUGGAACGUUAUUCCAGAAACAUGUAUUAUGUGUGUCAUAUUAAAUUAUUUUCUUUUUAUCAAAUAUUGCAUGGUAUUUUAUUCUUGCUUGACUCGAGUAAGAAAUACAUAACAAGAUACUACUAGACAUUAAAUUGACGCAGCAAACCAUCAAUAACACACAUGUAACAAGGGUUUUGGAUCAUCCCUCAUGAAAAAACAAAUAUGGUAAAAGUCAAGAUUCAGAUUAAAGUUAAAUAGACUCUAUAUCCCCCCUUUUUUACCCCCUAUUAAAGAUAUCCUCACUCAGGCUGCAUUUCUGAUUAUUAUCAAUUUUCCUUAGAAGGAAGUAUAAAGCAACUUAGAAUUAGAUUGUAGGAUCAUCAUUUAAAGCAAUUUAAAAAGACUGAACAUAUUUGAGUAAUGAGAAUGAAUGUCAUCCUGUACUAACUUGAAUCAGUCCAAUUACAAAUUGUAGUCCACUGUUUUAAAUAGUUGAGUAACCCUAAUGAAUGAGACAUAGUGAGGGAUAGUUUUUAAGUGAUAUGUUGAUUUAAUGUUUAAAAUAUAUCUAUAUUUUCUAGUUAGCAACUAAGUUUCAUUACUAUUUUCAAAUCAGACAUUUCUAAGAUAUGCAACCCUAUUAAAAACAGACGAAGUCAAAUUUAGAUCAUUUAGUACAACUGCCAAUGGAUAUUUGUUUAUACAUGUACAAUACUGAAUAUUCAAUAAGAACACACAUACCUCAAAU